UACGUAGGGGGCAAGCGUUGUCCGGAGUUACUGGGCGUAAAGCGCACGCAGGCGGUCUUUUUAAGUUUUGGAGUGACAGUUGGUGGCUUAACUGCCAAAGUGCUUCGAAAACUGAGAGACUUGAGGGCUUCAGAGGGACACGGAAUUCCGGGUGGAGUGGUGAAAUGCGUAGAGAUCCGGAGGAACACCAAAGGCGAAGGCAGUGUCCUGGGGAGUACCUGACGCUCAGGUGCGAAAGCCAGGGGAGCGAACGGGG
rnacentral:rRNA from 1 species